UAAUGACGGUACCAUUAGAAUAACCCACGGCUAACUACGUGCCAGCAGCCGCGGUAAUACGUAGGUGGCGAGCGUUAUCCGGAUUUAUUGGGUUUAAAGGGUGCGUAGGCGGCUUAAUAAGUCGGUGGUUAAAAGUAGCAGCUUAACUGUUUUACAUGCCAUCGAUACUGUUGAGCUUGAGAUAUUUGGAGGCAGCUAGAAUUUCCGGUGUAGCGGUGAAAUGCAUAGAUACCGGAAGGAAUCCCAAUUGCGAAGGCAGGUUGCUACGAAUAAA
rnacentral:rRNA from 1 species